AUUAACGCUAGCGGCAGGCAUAAUACAUGCAAGUUGAACGGCAGCACAGGUAGCAAUACCGGGUGGCGAGUGGCGCACGGGUGCGUAACACGUAUGCAACCUACCCUAUACAGGCGAAUAACCUUUAGAAAUGAGGGCUAAUACGCCGUGGUAUUAUCUUGGGGCAUCUUGAGAUAAUUAAAGAUUUAUCGGUAUAGGAUGGGCAUGCGUCCCAUUAGUUAGUUGGUAGGGUAACGGCCCACCAAGGCCAUGAUGGGUAGGGG
rnacentral:rRNA from 1 species